rnacentral:rRNA from 1 species
GACCAGACUCCUACGGGAGGCAGCAGUGGGGAAUAUUGCACAAUGGGGGGAACCCUGAUGCAGCGACGCCGCGUGGGUGAAGAAGUAUUUCGGUAUGUAAAGCCCUAUCAGCAGGGAAGAAAGAAGACGGUACCUGACUAAGAAGCCCCGGCUAACUACGUGCCAGCAGCCGCGGUAAUACGUAGGGGGCGAGCGUUAUCCGGAUUCACUGGGUGUAAAGGGAGCGUAGACGGCCGUGCAAGCCAGGAGUGAAAGCCCGGGGCCCAACCCCGGGACUGCUCUUGGAACUGUGCGGCUGGAGUGCGGGAGGGGCAGGCGGAAUUCCUGGUGUAGCGGUGAAAUGCGUAGAUAUCAGGAGGAACACCGGCGGCGAAGGCGGCCUGCUGGACCGCGACUGACGUUGAGGCUCGAAAGCGUGGGGAGCGAACAGGAUUAGAUACCCGGGUAG